GAGUUUGAUCCUGGCUCAGAUUGAACGCWGGCGGCAGGCCUAACACAUGCAAGUCGAGCGGAUGAAGGGGGCUUGCUCCUGGAUUCAGCGGCGGACGGGUGAGUAAUGCCUAGGAAUCUGCCUGGUAGUGGGGGAUAACGUCCGGAAACGGGCGCUAAUACCGCAUACGUCCUGAGGGAGAAAGUGGGGGAUCUUCGGACCUCACGCUAUCAGAUGAGCCUAGGUCGGAUUAGCUAGUUGGUGGGGUAAGGGCCUACCAAGGCGACGAUCCGUAACUGGUCUGAGAGGAUGAUCAGUCACACUGGAACUGAGACACGGUCCAGACUCCUACGGGAGGCAGCAGUGGGGAAUAUUGGACAAUGGGCGAAAGCCUGAUCCAGCCAUGCCGCGUGUGUGAAGAAGGUCUUCGGAUUGUAAAGCACUUUAAGUUGGGAGGAAGGGCAGUAAGUUAAUACCUUGCUGUUUUGACGUUACCAACAGAAUAAGCACCGGCUAACUUCGUGCCAGCAGCCGCGG
rnacentral:rRNA from 1 species